rnacentral:sRNA from 1 species
GCUAUUACUUUCAUCUAAGAUCUUGCAUGUGAAGAUGAGGUAACAUGGUGUAGCCAAGGAUGACUUGCCGGAAAAACUCUCCAUAAAUUUUCUGGUGAUUCAUCUUCGGUUUUUAAUCAGAAUUUCGGCAAGUUGUCCUUGGCUACAUUUCUACUUCAUCAUCCUCACAUGCUAGAUCUAUGAUGAUUACUUAAUUGC